CAGGCAUGAGCCACUGCGCCCGACCAAAUUCUAACCACUCUUACAUCUCAAAUGCAAGUGUCUUUGGUCAAGCAGCAUUCGUACGGAGACACUAGCCCUAGAGCAGUUGGUGGUAUUGGGAGCAGGGUUCAAGCAGAGUAAGGCCUAGGGAUUAACCUUUGCCUAAAGCCUGGUCUACAUCUAGGGUUUCCACCCACCUACCUACCUGGCGAGACUGGCAAGGAUUUCCAUUUUACUGAUGAGGAAACUGAGUUCAGAGAAGUUGCCUGCUCACAUUUAUGGGGUUAUAAAAUGAUAGCACCAGGAUUUGGAGCCGGGACUUCAUUCUGGGCUCUGCUACAACCCUGAGCCCCUCUGUCUUGACAGCAUGUAUCAUAACUGGACUGAUAAUUACGAUUCUCUAUUAAAAAGUGGGAGCAUCCACUUAAAUUGUUUUGUUUUGUUUCUAACUUGGCAGAUAGCUUGGAAAGUUGCUGGACACCAGUUGGACUUGCCGCGAAAACCGUUCAUCUUGGCCUUUCAGAGAAAACCUUCAGAAGCAUUGAUUUGCGAGCAGAAAACUGUCUACAUCACGGCUGCUACCGAGCUCAACUUUUCCUGAACGGACUCAGCUGAAAUCCUUGCCAUGUCUCGGUUCUCAUUUCGCUAUGCUAAUUAGGGAGCCCAGAGGGUUUUCCGAAGAUCCUGGACUUGCUCUACUGGACUCAUGCCUAAUAAAGUAGAGCUAUCACGUUGCCCAGCGCUACGCUCUUUCAAAAGUUCACAGAAAGGCCCACACUGAGAAGAGAAGGAACUUAACUGGGUAAGUAGCAUUGGGCAGUGAGGUAAUGACAUCAUGGUUCAAGUUAAACGUCCUGGAAGGUGAAGACGCAUGGGUUGGGGAGGGGGAUGUAUCUCCUCGGGAAUGUGAGAAUGAUUCGAUUCUUAACAACUAGGACCUAACAAUAUGGUGUCUGAAAUGAUAAGGCCACAAUGAACAGAGAUGACCCGAAGAGCAAGUAGACUAAGGCAGUCGGGGACAGAAAAGACUUCAAGUUAUUUUCCAACUGUUGCCUGAUGGCUCCUUUCCAAGAACCAGGAAACUGGUUCUUAACUGAUAUGCCAUUUCUGUCCCUCCCUGAGAGGUGCUACUGAAUUCUGAUUGAUGUGUACCAAACCCAUCUUUGCCAUGAGUUGUGUGAUGGAGGCUGAGCUGAGUGGAUCUACGAUAUGGUGCAGGGCACAGCUUACUAUGGAUGGGAGGGAAAAGGCAAAGUAGUGUCAAGCUGGCGCCAGACUGUGUUGAGUACAUUUGAAAUGAACUUGGUCUCGUGAGAUUAUAAAAGAGUGUGGUCAAGGCAGUGAACCUCAACCUUUAAACAGUGACAACAUGGGAAGGUCGAUCAAGGGACCGUGUGGGCCAACGAGAACCUUCAGAGCACUGUCCCCAAAGCCCACACUCAAAUUGUGCCUCAAACACAAAAACCGCCUUAGGGAAUUGAGGGCAGCUUGUAUAAAUAGCAUUCUGGUUAGGACGGUUACCUUUACAUAGUCAUGAAAUAUAAAAUAUGUUCUGCACAAAGUGCUGUUGUAGCACAAAGCAGGCAAAACUUUCUCUUGUCCAGAAAAAAACUCUUACAGCAGCAAAAUCCCUCCUGCGGGUUCAGGACAAUUGUGAGUGUGCCAGAAUUGUAAGCCUGGACAAUAAAGAACGAGGAUCAGUAGGCUUUUUGGUCUUUCUGGACUCAGGUACCACCUACCUGAAUCAAACUGCUGCUGACUCUCGUCUGUCUGCCCCAUCUGAAGACGUGGCUGCCAAGUGGAGCUGGGUAAGACUAGGCACUACAUGCCCUUGGUCUCCGUUUUGCCUGAAGAUGCUUUUUGGAGGCCGGGUGCGGUGGCUCACGCUUGUAAUCCAAGCACUUUGGGAGGCCAAGGCAGGUGGAUCACUUGAG